AGCCCGUUAGCGCCGAUGGUACUGCACUUGUGGAAGAGUAGGUCGCCGCCUUUU
rnacentral:rRNA from 1 species